CUUUCAAAAGCAACAGCCAAAGCAGAUGCAAGGGAGAUGCAUUGGUGCUCAUAAAUUCAAGGAGCUGAAAUGGCAACAGCUGUGGCAAUUUCAGGAUUUCAGCAGAUGGGUCAAAAUCAAAGUUGAUGAUCAGUCAUAUGAUCUUCAGCAGCCCUGGAAGGGUGUGAGUUCUCGGCAUCCCAUGCAGGACCUCUGAAUGUACAGAGGUGCUGAGGAGGGAGCAUGCGCCGGUGCCAAACGCUGGAUGACCUCACUAUCCUCAUGGAAAAGGAGGUGAAUACCACUGCCUUCUUUCUGUGUCCAAGCAAGUUAUGAUUGGAAUGGAAAGUAUAGCCACCCGGGGCUGGCAGUACCCCUACCUACUCAAUUGCAGACAUGUUGAUACAGAACAUGAUCAUCAAAUUCCAGUGAAGCCACAGUGAUGGGAGUCCAGCAAGAGUAAAAGCAAGUAGAAGGAAGAAGCCCAGAAAAACCAAAGCGCCUAAGGCCCAUGAAAGCUGUAAUGACUCCUUACCAUGAAGUUCUCUCUCCUGAUACCAUGUGGAGAAGAUCCUUACUUCCUCUUCACCUUCCACCAUGAUUGUGAGUUUCCUGAGGCCUUCCCAGCCAUGUGGAACCGUGUGCUCAGCCUCCUCCUGUGAUGUAUCUGGAUUUCAUCCUCCAUGGUGAAAGGCAAAAGGCUGUUUAUCUCUUCUCUGGUCUGUGUAUGAAAGCUACAUGAAAAUGAGCAUUGAAAGGGUUAAGUGCACUCUUCAUGCAGAAAGACAAAACUUGUGGAUUUUCUAUUCCAUUGGGUCCAAACAAGAAGAACGAUCUGUUGCUAUUAUUUUAGGAUUCAACUCAAUAGCUGAUAAAUUUGAUUUCUUUCACACUGGGCAAAGACUUGAAACAUUGUAGCCCCAGAAUGGGAAGUCUCUUCUCCGAACUUAUGAACAUGUAACUCUUCAGUUCUCCCUCAACUUUAUUAAGCAUAUUGAGUUUCAAAAGACAUUCCUACUCUCCUUCUUCAAUACCUUCUCUUUUUAAAUGUUACUUUAUUUUUUAAAUGUAUUAUGCAGUUUUUAAGACAUUCAAAAAGGGAUAAGGAAAACCAAACCAACACCUACGUAUCUAUCACGCAGCUCAAGAAAUACAACAUUAGGAGCUGUUAAAUCCACUAUUUAUGCUCACUGCCUUCUAGAUAGUCUGUUACUUCCCAGAGGUCAAUUCCUGAGAGCCUAGGGACCUGGGCAUUGUCUUUGCCAUCUUUGUGAGGCCCUGGAGAUGCCCUUUAUGUCUCUGGCUUCUAUGUUGUCGAAGUCUAGGUUGACCUUGUGAUUUUUGAGGCUGUGGGUUAGGCUUGCAAUGUCUGGAACUUGGCUAUGAGUUUUGAACGCUUUUCCUUGGGCCUUGUCGUCAGAUGGAAGUGCAUAUAGUUUCCCAUGGCCACCUCUUCCAGGAUGUUCAAUGAGAAGUCCCAAA